rnacentral:rRNA from 1 species
GACGAACGCUGGCGGCGUGCUUAACACAUGCAAGUCGAACGGAAAGGCCCUGCUUUUGUGGGGUGCUCGAGUGGCGAACGGGUGAGUAACACGUGAGUAACCUGCCCUUGACUUUGGGAUAACUUCAGGAAACUGGGGCUAAUACCGGAUAGGAGCUCCUGCUGCAUGGUGGGGUUUGGAAAGUUUCGGCGGUUGGGGAUGGACUCGCGGCUUAUCAGCUUGUUGGUGGGGUAGUGGCUUACCAAGGCUUUGACAGGUAGCCGGCCUGAGAGGGUGACCGGCCACAUGGGGACUGAGAGACGGCCCAGACUCCUACGGGAGGCAGCAGUGGGGAAUAUUGCACAAUGGGCGGAAGCCUGAUGCAGCAACGCCGCGUGCGGGAUGACGGCCUUCGGGUGGUAAACCGCUGUCGCCUGUGACGAAGCGUGAGUGACGGUAAUGGGUAAAGAAGCACCGGCUAACUACGUG